rnacentral:rRNA from 1 species
CAGUCGCCACGGUAAUACGGAGGGAGCUAGCGUUGUUCGGAAUUACUGGGCGUAAAGCGCACGUAGGCGGUUAUUCAAGUCAGAGGUGAAAGCCCGGGGCUCAACCCCGGAAUAGCCUUUGAAACUAGAUAACUUGAAUCCAGGAGAGGUGAGUGGAAUUCCGAGUGUAGAGGUGAAAUUCGUAGAUAUUCGGAAGAACACCAGUGGCGAAGGCGGCUCACUGGACCUGUACUGACGCUCAUGCACGAAAGCGUGGGGAGCAAACAGGAUUAGAUACCCCGGUAGUCCCUGUCUCUUAUAC